rnacentral:rRNA from 1 species
GACGAACGCUGGCGGCGUGCCUAAUACAUGCAAGUCGAACGCAUUUUCUUUCACCGUAGCUUGCUACACCGAAAGAAAAUGAGUGGCGAACGGGUGAGUAACACGUGGGUAACCUGCCCAUCAGCGGGGGAUAACACUUGGAAACAGGUGCUAAUACCGCAUAAUUCCAUUUACCGCAUGGUAGAUGGAUGAAAGGCGCUUUUGCGUCACUGAUGGAUGGACUCGCGGUGCAUUAGCUAGUUGGUGGGGUAACGGCCUACCAAGGCUGCGAUGCAUAGCCGACCGGAGAGGGUGAGCGGCCACACUGGGACUGAGACACGGCCCAGUCUCCUACGGGAGGCAGCAGUAGGGAAUCUUCGGCAAUGGACACAAGUCUGACCGAGCAACGCUGCGUGAGUGAAGAAGGUUGUCGGAUCGUAAAACUCUGUUGUUAGAGAAGAACAAGGAUGAGAGUGGAAAGUUCAUCCCUUGACGGUAUCUAACCAGAAAGCCACGGCUAACUACGUG